UACGUAGGGUGUAAGCGUUAAUCGGAAUUACUGGGCGUAAAGCGUGCGCAGGCGGUUGUGCAAGACAGAUGUGAAAUCCCCGGGCUCAACCUGGGAAUUGCAUUUGUGACUGCACGGCUAGAGUGUGUCAGAGGGGGGUAGAAUUCCACGUGUAGCAGUGAAAUGCGUAGAGAUGUGGAGGAAUACCGAUGGCGAAGGCAGCCCCCUGGGAUAACACUGACGCUCAUGCACGAAAGCGUGGGUAGCAAACAGGA
rnacentral:rRNA from 1 species